rnacentral:lncRNA from 1 species
AACUAACUAGUCUUACAAGUAUGUCAAAUUACAUAUAGUUAUAAAUAUCAAGCUAAGAGUGAUAUAAUGUAUUUAAAGACAUAAAAUGAUAUCCACUAAAUUUACAAAUUUGUUCUGUCAAGAAAAAGAAAAAAGUCUCUAAUCUUCAGUCCUCUUCCAUCUUCAAUAGUCUGGACUUAGAAAAUUGGUUUGCUCAGGGACCAGAAACAUCUAGAACCUAUUGAAAAUAAAAGAAUACAAGUUGGAAACUCAACUUAGCCAAAAGGAAGGAAAAUUUUACAAUGGCACACAAAUUGACAUUAUACACAUCUUAAGUGAACAUUAAACAUUAACCAUAACUGAAGUAUUAAGAGAACCUGGUGAUGGUUACCAAUUCAUCAACCUGUUUGGAUCAAAACCUGCUACUUAUUAGAAACCUGGUGGCAGCUGCAACUUGUAAGCUACUUUUCCCACCCUGUCUANNNNNN